AAAACGACUGUCCCUGUCGCUCGCUCCCCUGUUCCCCAAUCUCUCGUCGACGGUGGCGGCUGCCCAAAUACGCAGAUCCGGUGCUUCCGUGGUGGACGACGGCUACUCCGACGGCACCUGCUCCCUGCCUCCUCCCACCCUACUCCGGCAUCCAGGUCGCUUGGCUCCGUCCCCAGGCCACCCCAACAUCGUGUUGCGCAUCCUCGUCAGCGAACGCGCCGCCGCCGCCACCGGCCACCCGCCACGGCUCCUCCUCCCUGGUGGCCGCAGGCGCCCCGCCAGCUCAGCUGCACGUCCCUACACCCGGAGGCAAGCUAGCAGUGGUCUAGUCCAGGAUUGCUGCUCCCCGUUGCUCCUAGAUCCAGCAAUAGCUCACCGGAGGCAAGCCGGCGGUGGUGCUCGAUCUCCUCGCCUCCUGGGCCUCGCAGGAUUAGCAACAAGGCUGACUACUGUACCAGCAAAGCCAGCUGAUUCCUUCCCCAAUUCCGGCCGCUCGAAAAAUGGCGGAGAUCGCCGGCGACGAGACCCCGCCGCUACCUUCGUCUUCCGGCGCCGAGGAGUCCUCUCUCCUCUCGUCCCCUCCCUCGCCUACCGCCAUCAGCGGGGACGAGCCGCCGCCGCGCACGAGGAAGCCCGGCACGAAGCGCCUCGUCCUCACCGCCUCAGUCCUCCUCUCCUUCCUCGUCGGACUGCCCUUGCUGCUCAAAUCCACCGAGAUCCACCGGUCGCCGCUGCCCUCCGACGCAAUCGCCGACCUGUCCCGCCGCCUCCAGUCGCACCCUCCAUCCUUCCCCUGCGGUCUCCACGCGGUGUUCCUCCGCUCCGGCCCUGGCUCCCCCGUCGCCUCCCUUGCCGACCAGCUCGAGCGGGCAAUCUCGACCCAGCACCACCUCCUCCCCGCGUCUUCUACUGCUGGGAACAUCUCAGUGUCAGUCACCAUCCAGUCGGGCGGUGGCUGCACCAGCAGCACGGCUGCUGCUUCGCCUUGGCGAUGUGGGUUGUUGACCGCUGCGGACUCGGUCCGUGAUGACGAGGUGUUCGAUGAAUUGCUGCACUCCGCAUUGGGUGGUCGUGAUGGGGAUGGGAUGAAGGUUUACACUAUUGUCAUUGCUGAGGAUGAUGAUGGGAAGGGGACGAGGGUUGUGAUCGGAAAGCACCGUCAUGCUUGGGUUGUUGGGAAGGUUGAUGAGGCCGAGGCUCUGUCACUUAUUGGCAACGUGUUCAUCAAGUAUUUCAUGAAUGGCGGUAUUGAAGAGGGUGAGACAGGCAUUGGGAAAGGAGAGUUCAUGCCAGUUGGUUCAGAUGGGAAUGUUGUUCUUUCAUUCAGCUUGUUGAAUGCUGAUCCAAAUGAUUGGGUCUAUGAUUGGGAGUUCAAAAAUAUUGGCGAGAGAAUCCUUACUCCUGUGGUUGAGGCCCUGCGACCAGUUGCUGAUAUCAAUAUAGAGAGUCAGGUUCUCUACCACACUCCGAAGUCAUCCUAUUCUUAUUCUGACGAUAAAUUGGGUGGCAAUGUCCUUAGUAUGGGAGACAUUCCUUUCUUUGUAAACUCAAAUGAGUGGCACUUGGAUACAUCGAUCUCAGCUACAGGACGAUCAAAAGUUCUUCAGUUUGUGGUGUAUAUUCCAUCUGCAAGGGAAUGCCCUUUGUAUUUGCAGCUUCCAGAUGGGGAGCUUUCGAAAACUAAUGCAUUUAUUUCCCCAAUGUGGGGAGGUGUUGUUAUUUGGAACCCACCAGGCUGUUCAGUUGGUUCAAAGAAGGCGCAUGGGACUCGGAGACAAAUGUCAUCACAGGAACUUAUGGAGACUCUGGAAAUCUUCAUUGGGCAGCUAAGACAGUUAUUUGGUCUAAAACCAAACUAUCAUGCACAAGGCAUGGAUGUGGCAACUAAAUUCCUAGUUAGUGAAAAGGGGUUUGCGCAAUGGGAAUUGGAUUUACUAUACAGACAUCAUGCAUGUUCCAACCUUUUGUCAUGUGUCGCCACCUUGGAAUCUCUUUCCAGCUUGGUCCAGUCGCUCCCAAGAAUGAUUGUUAUGGAUGAAAUUGGGAGGCAGGUAGAGCUUUCGCUUGAAGCCGCAAGCUUAGCUCAAAGGAACGCCACACUUGGAAUAGUGUCUGCAACGAGAGCGAGGGCUUUGGCCGAGGACGCAUUUUUCCAUCCGUCCAUUAUGUCAAUCAGUUAUGCUUCCGUGGAGCACUACUUCGCCAUUUACAUGCCAUUCUUUGCGCCAGUGUGUUUGCAUGUGCUGCUGGCGGCGAUCAAAGAGCUGAAACGGUACAAGGUGGAGCGGGCCAAGUACUCGGCGUUCCUCCUCGCUUCCCAGUCCCGGGCGACGACUUCCUCCUGAUCGAUCCAUCCAUCCAUCAAACAAUCCAUCAUCGGUGACAGGCUGCAAAGCAUUGCUGACUGCUCCGCGCUUGGCAUCGUCAUCCAUCGUCCCACGGAGUCUGACAGGUGACCGAAGGCAGUAGAUAAUGAUGAUCUGUAGUGGCAUCCUAGGCAGACGAGUAGGGCUUGCGCGCAUGUAAAUCUGUAUAACUUGCAAGUAUACGGUGGAUUUUGCUUGCUUAUAGUCCGGGCUGAGGACCCACAUUUUUGUUCGUAAAAGAAGACUUGCCCUCUCACAUGAAGAAAUCCGUGUCAAUUUCCAAGUUCGCCGUUUUUUUCCCCUUUUGGUUGAAUCAAUCAUCUCU
rnacentral:rRNA from 1 species